rnacentral:lncRNA from 1 species
CAUUAGGAUCUUAGAUCAUAUUGAUAACCCCAAUAGUAGGUUGAUUGAGUUCAGCAUCAUCAUUAGGCUUUUGGUGAUGUUCUACAGUUUGAGUUAUCCGAUCUCAAACAAAUUUGCCGAGAUGAUCUCGACAAAUUAGAAUUUGAAUUUCAUCUUUAAGCUGUCGACAUUUUUUAGUAUCAUGGCCAUAGUCUCUAUGGUAGUGGUAGUACUUUCUUUUAUCUCUUUUCAAUGGUGGAGCCUUCAUAAAGUUGGGCUGACGAAGAUAUCCGUGGUCCUCGAUUUUCAUUAAUAUCCAG